AUUGAACGCUGGCGGCAUGCCUUACACAUGCAAGUCGAACGGCAGCACGGGAGCAAUCCUGGUGGCGAGUGGCGAACGGGUGAGUAAUAUAUCGGAACGUGCCCGGUCGUGGGGAUAACGUAGCGAAAGCUACGCUAAUACCGCAUACGAUCUACGGAUGAAAGCGGGGGAUCGCAAGACCUCGCGCGAUUGGAGCGGCCGAUAUCAGAUUAGGUAGUUGGUGAGGUAAAGGCUCACCAAGCCGACGAUCUGUAGCUGGUCUGAGAGGACGACCAGCCACACUGGGACUGAGACACGGCCCAGACUCCUACGGGAGGCAGCAGUGGGGAAUUUUGGACAAUGGGCGCAAGCCUGAUCCAGCAAUGCCGCGUGCAGGAUGAAGGCCUUCGGUUGUAACUGCUUUGUACGGUAACGAAACGGUGAGCUCUAAUACGGUUUGUCGUAAUGACGGUACCGUAAGAAUAAGACACCGGCUAACU
rnacentral:rRNA from 1 species